GCAGCGAACGCCCAGCCCUGGCGCGGGCGCGCUCGUGGGUUCACGUGUUCGUGCCCGAGUUGGGCUUUGCUAGGAGGGAAGUUGCGCGACGGUCGGACUGCCGGGUUUCGUCUUUGUCAUGGCUGCGUGCGAGCAGAUUCUUGAAGAGCAACUUAGGAGCUGGACUGGAGAGGACCUGUUUUGAAGUUGCCAUCAUUACAGUAUUUUCCCUGCAGUCACACUCAGAUCACUUCCCAGGGGGAAACACAGCCCUCUGCAAUCUGAUUGCAAUGUACGUGGUACAUUGGACUAGCAGCAAAUCACAACUCCGUAGCUGGAUUUGAUCAGGGUACGUCACACUGACAAAGGAGGUUUGUGAUGGGCACAAAACAUUACAGCUGACCACGAAACUCCAAAACUUUUUUUUAAGAGAAGAGGGAGGAGCCAGCACUUGAUCAAGAGACAAAACACAGCAGGUGGGGCCAAGUGUUGCUGGGCCCUGGUCUGCCUCAGCCCCCACACAGACCCACCGCCUGCCCUGCUGGGCCUUUGUUCCUCAGCUGUAAUUUGUAAUUGCUUGAUGAUGUGCAGGUUCUGUGUGUGAGAACGGGUUCCCGGAGAAGUAAUCAUUAUUGAUCUAACGUUGCCCUCAGUAAAAGUUCUGAGAGUCUGAGGAUAGCAGGACAGAUGAAGGCACUCUUAAAAUUAAGGUCAAAUUGACACUUUCUGUACCGAAAAGUUUGCCUGUGUUGCCAUUUACACUGGCUGCUCUCAUAAAAACCUUUCUGCCUUAACGCCUUUAGACCAUCAACGCUACAACAGUGCUACUUUUAAAGAACAUCAGUGCCACAGAAAUAAACAUGAAAACAGCAAGCACAAUACUAGUUGAAAAUGUAGCCUAGGGCUUUUAGCAAUUGAAUUUAACACCUACAUUAUUGUAGAAAGACCUAAAGCUAGUAUGGAGAGGCUCCCUAAAGCGCCCCCCAUUAGCCUAACUUGAGCACUAAAGUGGGAAAUUGA